AUGUCCGGUCAUACCAUGAUAGUCGUCGACAAAACACCCAUCCAGUCUGAUGCCUCAAACUUAAUGGUGCCUCCUCCCGCGAUAGUAACACAACCCUCUCCAUGCAGCUGGGCGUUGAUCCUAGCUCAUCCUGGGCCAGUAGCCCCCAGCCCGUCCAUCCUUGUUGGGGUGAACUUUGAUGAUGAGAUCAGUCGCAACCUGACGCCCCUGACCCAAAGGGCUAAGGAGGCAGGUGAUCCUGCUAACAACACCAAGGACUUAGCCUUCCUGGAAACAAUGGCUGCCGGGUUAAAGGAUGUGCAAGAGAGGUACAGCCAAAAGUGGUAG
rnacentral:rRNA from 1 species